CCUACGGGCGGCAGCAGUGAGGAAUAUUGGUCAAUGGGCGCGAGCCUGAACCAGCCAAGUAGCGUGAAGGAUGACUGCCCUACGGGUUGUAAACUUCUUUUAUCAAGGAAUAAAGAGCGGCACGUGUGCCUUUUUGUGUGUACUUUAUGAAUAAGGAUCGGCUAACUCCGUGCCAGCAGCCGCGGUAAUACGGAGGAUCCGAGCGUUAUCCGGAUUUAUUGGGUUUAAAGGGAGCGCAGAUGGGUUGUUAAGUCAGUGGUGAAAGUUUGCGGCUCAACCGUAAAAUAGCAAUUGAUACUGGCAGCCUUGAGUACAGUAGAGGUAGGCGGAAUGCGUGGUGUAGCGGUGAAAUGCUUAGAUAUCACGAAGAACUCCGAUUGCGAAGGCAGCUUACUAACCUGCCACUGACAUUGAUGCUCGAAAGUGUGGGUAUCAAACAGGAUUAGAUACCCCAGUAGUC
rnacentral:rRNA from 1 species